AGUGAACGCUGGCGGUAGGCCUAACACAUGCAAGUCGAACGGCAGCACAGUAAGAGCUUGCUCUUACGGGUGGCGAGUGGCGGACGGGUGAGGAAUACAUCGGAAUCUACUUUUUCGUGGGGGAUAACGUAGGGAAACUUACGCUAAUACCGCAUACGACCUACGGGUGAAAGCAGGGGAUCUUCGGACCUUGCGCGAUUGAAUGAGCCGAUGUCGGAUUAGCUAGUUGGCGGGGUAAGGGCCCACCAAGGCGACGAUCCGUAGCUGGUCUGAGAGGAUGAUAGCCACAAGGAGAGAGUAGCCAGCGCCAGUCCUCCUGCGAGAGGACCCAGAGGGAAAUGGGAGACAGUGGGGGCAAGCAGUACCACCCAGUCCCGCGGGUGAAAAAACGGCUUCCGGUGUGAAAUGCCUGUUUUUGGGAAAAAAAAAGCAGCAGGUAAAUACCCCGCUUUCGUGACGGUACCAAAAGAAGAAGCACCGGCUAACUUCGAG
rnacentral:rRNA from 1 species